AUUGAACGCUGGCGGCAGGCCUAACACAUGCAAGUCGAGCGGAUGAAGGGAGCUUGCUCCUGGAUUCAGCGGCGGACGGGUGAGUAAUGCCUAGGAAUCUGCCUGGUAGUGGGGGAUAACGUCCGGAAACGGGCGCUAAUACCGCAUACGUCCUGAGGGAGAAAGUGGGGGAUCUUCGGACCUCACGCUAUCAGAUGAGCCUAGGUCGGAUUAGCUAGUUGGUGGGGUAAAGGCCUACCAAGGCGACGAUCCGUAACUGGUCUGAGAGGAUGAUCAGUCAAACGGGAAAUGAGAAAGGGCCAAGACUCAGACGGGAGGCAGAAGGGGGGAAUAUUGAAAAAUGGGCGAAGGCCUGAACAAGCAAGGCCGGGGGGGGAAGGAAGUUUUUCGGAUUGAAAACAACUUUAAGUGGGGAGGAAGGGAAGAAAGUAAAAACCUGCUUGUUUUGAGGUUACAAAAGAAAAAAGACCGGCAUAACUUCGGG
rnacentral:rRNA from 1 species